AGAUGCACUGUGGUAGACAUUGCAGGGAAGGUGAGGGAAGCAAGGUUGAGAUGGCAUGGACAUCUAUUAAGAAGAGACUGAUGAAUGAUAUUCAGUCAGAGAUGUAAUGAAAUAUAGAUAUCAGAAGAAGAUGCACUGUGGUAGACAUUUCAGAGAAGGUGAGGGAAGCAAUGUUGAGAUGCUAUGGACAUCUAUUAAGAAGAGACUGAUGAAGGAUAUUCAGUCAGAGAUGUAAUGAAAUAAAGAUAUCAGAAGAAGAUGCACUGUGGUAGACAUUGCAGGGAAGGUGAGGGAAGCAAUGUUGAGAUGGCAUGGACAUCUAUUAAGAAGAGACUGAUGAAGGAUAUUCAGUCAGAGAUGUAAUGAAAUAAAGAUAUCAGAAGAAUAUGCACUGUGGUAAACAUUGCAUAAAAGGUGAGGGAAGCAAGGCUGAGAUGGCAUGGGCACAUAAUAAUAAGAAAUUUAAGGAGAGCCAAUUGGAGAAAUUUAAGGAGAG